rnacentral:rRNA from 1 species
AACGAACGCUGGCGGCAUGCCUAACACAUGCAAGUCGAACGAUGCUUUCAGGCAUAGUGGCGCACGGGUGCGUAACGCGUGGGAAUCUGCCCUUGGGUUCGGGAUAACCGUUGGAAACGACGGCUAAUACCGGAUGAUGACGUAAGUCCAAAGAUUUAUCGCCCAGGGAUGAGCCCGCGUCCGAUUAGGUAGUUGGUGGGGUAAAGGCCUACCAAGCCGACGAUCGGUAGCUGGUCUGAGAGGAUGAUCAGCCACACUGGGACUGAGACACGGCCCAGACUCCUACGGGAGGCAGCAGUGGGGAAUAUUGGACAAUGGGCGAAAGCCUGAUCCAGCAAUGCCGCGUGAGUGAUGAAGGCCUUAGGGUUGUAAAGCUCUUUUACCCGGGAUGAUAAUGACAGUACCGGGAGAAUAAGCCCCGGCUAACUCCGUGCCAGCCGCCGCCGUAA